UACCCUUAAAAAAAAAAAAAAUCAAUCCGUCAAUAAAUCAGUAAAAUUUUAAAAAACUACGCAGGCCAAGGGUCUGGCUCUAUGUGGCGGUCAUCAGGUUUGUGGCCCUGAGGAGAACUUUGGAAAAGCUCUAGUGGGGUCCCCUGUCUUUCUCAACACCCCUAGAAAGCACCAGGCCUCUUCCUGAGCUUCCAGGGACCCGGAUGGAAAGAAAGCCAGGUGUGUCUGGGUGGGCCAAGCUGGGUCCUUUUCAGCGGGGCUUUUGCAAAACUCUCUGGGACCUGGAGCCGGGUUCAAAACUCCCUUUAAUCCGCUCCCCUCAAACACACUCCCCCUUUCUCUCUCUCUCUUUCUCUGUGUCUCUCUCUCCCCCGGGCCCUUGUUACCCUUAAAAAAAAAAAAAAAAAUCAAUCCGUCAAUAAAUCAGUAAAAUUUUAAAAAACU